AGUGAACGCUGGCGGCAGGCCUAACACAUGCAAGUCGAACGGCAGCACAGCAGUAGCAAUACUGUGGGUGGCGAGUGGCGGACGGGUGAGGAAUACAUCGGAAUCUGCCUAGUCGUGGGGGAUAACGUAGGGAAACUUACGCUAAUACCGCAUACGACCUACGGGUGAAAGCGGGGGAUCGCAAGACCUCGCGCGAUUAGAUGAGCCGAUGUCCGAUUAGCUAGUUGGCGGGGUAAUGGCCCACCAAGGCGACGAUCGGUAGCUGGUCUGAGAGGAUGAUCAGCCACACUGGAACUGAGACACGGUCCAGACUCCUACGGGAGGCAGCAGUGGGGAAUAUUGGACAAUGGGCGCAAGCCUGAUCCAGCCAUGCCGCGUGGGUGAAGAAGGCCUCGG
rnacentral:rRNA from 1 species